AGUCAGUGCAGUGUGCAGUGUAGGUGCUUGGAGGGUGGCUGCCUGCCAAUUGAUGCCACCUCAUCAGUGAACAGGUUUGACUGAAACCCUGGGGAGCAAGGCUGCAGCGUGCAUGCUCUAUCCUGCAUGAAAAUAGUUUCUCAGGUCCAGGCUGCCCUGGGAGUUGGGAGACAACCUGGGUGCAUGAGAUACACAUUUAUAUUUGGCCUCGACCAGGUAAAAAUAGGAGGCAACAGAGAGGCCCAGCAGUCAUCUGGAUUAGGGCAGGGGGGAGGAAUCCAGAAGGGGAAGAUGAAGGUGCUAUUGUUUUUGUUUCCCUUCUAUUCUCUCUCUCUCCACCACAUCUGUCUUUGAUGCAGUGUCCUAAAAAUACUGGGCGGGGGAGACUUUCUGAAAUCCUAGAUGCCCUCCUCCCCAAAGAAAUACUAAAGCCAGGGCUAAAAAAAUGAAAUGCCUCAAGAUCUACCUCCCUCCAGCCCCUGCUAGGGACAGAGUGGGGUAACUUGAACCCUUCCCAUCUUCUCCUGACCUCUCCCUUUUUCCUGAUUUCCCAAUAGGGUCUGGUAACAGACCUGGGCAAGGGCAAAAUGAAGGGCACACUGCCUCCAGAGCAGGUGUCUCACCAGACGCCCAGAUCCAACCCAAGUCUGGGCUUAUAGCCCCUGUCCCUGUGUUGCAUCCUCCUCUUCUCACCCGGUCACCCUGCCCACCUGUUUCCUGAAGCUUCUCGCUCUUCUCAGAUUCAGAUUCAGUUCAUCCCCAGCUCCUGUUCCCUUCUUGCUAUGAAACCCUUCACCUAGACCAUCCCCUCCCAUCCCUGAUACUCUGUUUCACGGCACACCCAGCUCCUAUGGGGAGAGCCAGAGGGUGGGGUAUGAAUGUGAAUGGUUAGGGACCCUCCAAGGGGGAUAAAUCUGACGGUCCCCCUCCUUUCCACUCCAGCUUAGAUUUUGGUUGCCAAGGAGGCAGCAGGAACAGACUGUUCUCUGGGCUCUAGUAGGAGCAGCCAUGCCCAGGCCCCUCCCUCUCUCUUUCGCUUCUCUCCCUCCCUUCCUCCCAGACUGUUGCUAGGAAGCACCCCAAGAUUUCUUGA
rnacentral:lncRNA from 1 species